AAUAGAUACCCUGGUAGUCCACGCCGUAAACGGUGGGUACUAGGUGUGGGUUUCCUUCCUUGGGAUCCGUGCCGUAGCUAACGCAUUAAGUACCCCGCCUGGGGAGUACGGCCGCAAGGCUAAAACUCAAAGGAAUUGACGGGGGGCCCGCACAAGCGGCGGAGCAUGUGGAUUAAUUCGAUGCAACGCGAAGAACCUUACCUGGGUUUGACAUGCACAGGACGACUGCAGAGAUGUGGUUUCCCUUGUGGCCUGUGUGCAGGUGGUGCAUGGCUGUCGUCAGCUCGUGUCGUGAGAUGUUGGGUUAAGUCCCGCAACGAGCGCAACCCUUGUCUCAUGUUGCCAGCACGUGAUGGUGGGGACUCGUGAGAGACUGCCGGGGUCAACUCGGAGGAAGGUGGGGAUGACGUCAAGUCAUCAUGCCCCUUAUGUCCAGGGCUUCACACAUGCUACAAUGGCCGGUACAAAGGGCGGCGAUGCCGUGAGGCUUAGCGAAUCCUUUAAAGCCGGUUCUCAGUUCGGAGUCGGGGUU
rnacentral:rRNA from 1 species